rnacentral:rRNA from 1 species
AUUAAUAAGCGGAGGAAAAGAAACCAACCGGGAUUCCCCGAGUAAGGGCGACUGAAACGGGACCUAGCCCAGCGCAUAACCUCGCGGUUCGUGCAGAGCCGACGAGGGGUGUUGCGUAUCGGUGGAUCCGUCCCGCCCGUGCCCUACCGCCUAAGUCCAAGUAGGAAUACAGCCCCGCGGAGGGUGAGAGGCCCGUGUGGCGGCGCCCGCAAGGGCUACUAGGGCGCGGGCGGAGGGAUCGCUUCACCGGAGAGUCGGGUUGCUUAAUACUGCAGCCCUAAGAGAGGUGGUAAACUCCAUCUAAGGCUAAAUACAACCACGAGUCCGAUAGGAGACAAGUACCGUGAGGGAAAGUUGAAAAGGACUUUGAAGAGAGAGUUCAACAGUACGUGAAGCCGUUAGAAGCCCAAACGGGUGGAACCGCGAAGGUCGAACGAGGGCACUCACCCCGUCGGGCGGGCGGGACCCGGGGCGCUCCGACAGGCCGGCGCCGAAAGUUGAAAGAGAGUUGGAGCGCAGGAGCGCCCCGUCCGUCGCGUCCCGCUCCGGCGGGCGUACUUGUCCCUCCAGUAGCGGACGCCGCGAGCCGUGGCGGGGACCAGGAGGCCCAAGCAGCCCGGAUUGGUACCCUCGGUCCGGAGGGGAAACCGCUCAGGCUGGGAGUUAGAUGGUGGCCCCGCCACGGCCCGGCCCAGGGCGGCCCGAUCCUCCUCCUCGCGGGGAGGGUUUAGGGCCGCCUCGCGGCGGAGGACGAAGUCGGUGAUCCACCCGA